rnacentral:rRNA from 1 species
UGGGGAAUCUUAGACAAUGGGGGAAACCCUGAUCUAGCCAUGCCGCGUGAGCGAUGAAGGCCUUAGGGUUGUAAAGCUCUUUCAGCUGGGAAGAUAAUGACGGUACCAGCAGAAGAAGCCCCGGCUAACUCCGUGCCAGCAGCCGCGGUAAUACGGAGGGGGCUAGCGUUGUUCGGAAUUACUGGGCGUAAAGCGCACGUAGGCGGAUCAGAAAGUCAGAGGUGAAAUCCCAGGGCUCAACCUUGGAACUGCCUUUGAAACUCCUGGUCUUGAGGUCGAGAGAGGUGAGUGGAAUUCCGAGUGUAGAGGUGAAAUUCGUAGAUAUUCGGAGGAACACCAGUGGCGAAGGCGGCUCACUGGAUCGAUACUGACGCUGAGGUGCGAAAGCGUGGGGAGCAAACAG